UAGUCGUCCUUUAAUGUUGUUUAGGUCUGUUCGAGUUAAUUCUCUUGUCUUCCUGUUUUAGUCAUACGCCUACUGUUUUAUGUGGUGAUUAGCUAAAAUAGCUUAGUUUUUGUUUAGUUUUUUUGGUUGGUUGAUUUAGAAGCUAUAAGUUGUCUAAGCUAAAAAGGCAUCUGGUUGAGCAAUUGGUUUUAGUGAUGAAUUAUGUUGUUUGCUUAGGAUUAAACAAAAAGGGAAAAACAGUCUAGAUGAUCUAAAUGGGAUGAUUUGAAAUCCAUUUGAUAAUGAAAGGUUCACAUAGGGUAAAAGGGAUUAGUGGUUUGUUGAUGUAAUGGUUUGUGUGAUAAAGUUCAUAUGAAGGAUCUGGUAAUCAAUAUUGUUAUUCUGGAAGGAUGCUUAGUUAAUAAGUCUUAUAAGAAUUCAUGUUUAAGUCCUUUAAGAACCUGGCAGACUUAUGUGAACAUUCUAACUGGUUGAUUAAACUGUGAUGGGGUAUGACCUUACGUAGUGAUUUAUUUGUUUGAAUGAUAAUUAGUUUUCUAAAGUACUCUGCCUGUUCUGCUGUCUCAUCUCUAAAAGAAAGGUCUGUGUUAUAUGAGACAUGCCCUGAUCUUGAUUAAUUCACUUAGACUUCUCUUGAAUCAUGUUUAGUUAAAAAGAAAAGAGAAGGGUUAAAAUAUGUAUGAAUGAACAUAGAGUGUAGAUUUAUUUUGGGGCUAGAUGAAUUCCUUGCAAUAUGCUCUAUCCUACUCUGUUAAGCAUAAGAGGUUUAUUUUGAUCUUGUUUGGACCAACCUGCCACUAUGUGAUUUAAAACUGAUGCUAUAUGCUUUUAGACCGGCUGGUUUAGCUGUUUCUUGCCAAGUUUAGAUUUGCCUUUCUUUUUCUUUUGUAAAAAUGGUACAAGGUAUAAGUGGUUGUGAUGAAGUUGCUUGAGACAAGUCUUGUUUUUCUUGUGUUUUUUUUUCUUCUAAAAUCUGUUUAUGGAAAGGAUUAUUCUAGACUGCAUCCUACAUUACCUAUUUUCAAAAACUGGAAGUAUGAUUGCUUUUGGACUUUGUAAUCUGAUGAGUGCAACACCUAGACUAUGGCAGUCUUGUGGGUGGCAUAUUUUUUAUACUACUCUUUAAAAUUGGAAUCCUUUAGAGUAGACUAAAGAAGAGGCAUUUCUGCCACCUCUUCCUUUUGAAUGAUUCAGUGCUUUAAUGUUAAUUGCUUUCAAAAGGAUAUGUGUUUGAAGGUCUUAUGUUGGUCUUCUUACUUGAAGUCCUGGAAUCUGGUUUUGCUAGUUAUGGCCUAAGGUUUGAACUAUGUGAGUCUUUGUGCAAUGUGCCAUGUCAUUAAAGUUCUAUCUUGUUUGAGGUUGGAUUGAAGCAAAUAAAUGGCAUGUAUGACCUUAUUUGAUCAUGUUCUUUGUAAUGAUUUCC